GGAACUAUCACGAUGCUAUGAUUAAACUCAGGGGCAAGAAAGAAGUCUAAUUUGACUCACCACUGACAUAUGCAGAACUGCCCCUGACAAGGAGCAAGAAAACCAACCCAGAGCAAACAGAACAUCACUCAUACAUACCCAUUCCUGGUCUAGACAGGUUAAGUGAACAGUCUGGCAACAUGUUAAUGCUAAAGAUGAACCUCACAACACAGCUCUGAGAAGAAGCCUCUCCCCUACACCCUCUCCAAGGCAGAGCUGCUGGUAAUCUCACAGAACGGCAAGCACUGCAAACUGGGCCGCCAUCAAAUGGAAGAUGUCUACUGAUACACAAAACUGCAUUUUCUCAAGUUUGCCAACCUUUCAGCCGGUAUGCAGGCCAGCACAAUGCGGUUCAAUGCUCUUUAAGAACUGGAAGUGUUACAAUAUUCUGUGGUACUUAGAUGCCCAAGGGAAAGAGAUUUUUUAUUAUCAUUGGUCACGGGACUGCCAAAUGUUAUCUCAUAAGUCUGUGUCUUUCACAAUGGAUGAGUGAUCUGCCAUUCUUCUUCAAGAAGAAGAGACUUCACUACAUCAUCAGCAAACUUCAAGACUCUUUCGGUUCUACAUAAAUUGAUACUUUUGAAAGAAAGUAAGAUAUGAUUUUUGACUUUUUUUGUGUGUGUGAAAUCACCAAAGCACUUUGCAAAGUUCAACAUAGAGGGCUAUCUGCCAUAGCACAGAACCUGCUCGUGUCCUCGUCCUCAGACACAGAUACAAAACUCACUCACCUUAUUUAAAAAAUGUGCUAACAAGUGUUGCUGCCUGGUUGGUUCCCAGCCAGCCUAGCCAGUUUUCAUGCCUUCCUGCCAAUAAGACAUAGGAAGACUGUUUUGUUUUGUUUUAUUAAUGUGAGCAGGUGUGACUCACUAGGUGAAUUAGCUCCAGCAUGGGAUGUGUUGCAAAUUAUGGUGCAUGUGCCCUGUUGACUUUCUCCUGCAUGGAAACUCCAGUGCCUCCUGGGUUUGUAGGAUACACAGUGCAUUUCCAGGUUGAAUCACACCUCUCAGUCAGCACCACAGUGUGUGCACCACCCUUCUGAGCUCCUGUGCUAAUGUAACAGAUCUUUGCACACCAAGCAAUCGUUUGCCAAAAUGAACCUGUUUCGUUAUACCUACUGGUCCUAAACUCUGUUCCCAUAAACAAUCUACGUUAUGCAAGUAGUGAUAAUGCUGGGGAUGCUCAGCAGUAAAUAAUGAGCACAGUAUUCUUCAAACCCGUCCUUAAAUCUCAGCUUUGCAGUAAUGCCUUUCAAAAUCUUGAAAGCUCUUUGAUCGCUGCUUGUCAUACUGACCAGUAACAUCUCCUGUCCUUGUAUUCUGUUCCCUCUUUGACAUCUGUUGCCCUUUACAUUUGAUGGUUUUUGUAUAAAUACUGCCAUUCUGCUUUGUUCCCUAGCACAAGAAACAGCCCAAUACAAUGGUAGUACAAAUACUAACAAUAGCAUGAGGCAUCUGGUGUCACAUCUGAUUGGGCCCCUAUGUCUUGUCCAUCAGCCUCUUCCUAUUUUGAGACAUGCAAACUCAGUGGGACCACUUGUCCAGAAUCAGGCCUGUAUUUGUGUAGCUGUUCUGUAUUCAGAGAAGGCUCUCAUGAAACAGAAAGUCCUUGCAAAACUCUCCAGCAGCACAAUAACCAACUAUCCCUACUAUUGCUGUCAUUGCCAUUAUGGCUGUUUUCUUUGACUGCUACCUAUAAUGUUAUUUAGGAACAUGCAAAUGAAGUUAAUUAAAAUGUAUCCCUUUUGAUCCCCUUCUGAAGAUUCACCAUUCUUUGACUAAAAAAAAUGCUCUGCAGCAGUAAGAAAAAGUUGUGUUCAUCAGCAAAUGCUCAUACUGUAGAAGUUACAAACAUAGGUUUCUAUUAAACAGUUGCUAUGACAAAAAAAAAAAAAACCAAAAAAAAAACCAAAAAAACAGCAUCUCUUGUUUUGUAGUAUGUUUACUGUAUUGUCCUGGUAUACAUCCAUUACUUCAAUUAUCUAAAGAAAGAGGCUUUGAUAGAUUUCAACCCAAUGAUGUGAUCCUUGUGAGAGGCACACACAUGCACUUAUUGUUGAAGGUAGAAAAUGGUUGCUUUGUGCAGUUAUGGUUGUGUAGCUGGGAAUAUAGAUCAGUAGAAGCAGAAAGGCAGCCUAAUCAUGUACUCAUACUAAUAAUGAUUACUUUGUUAAGUGAGUUGAGAUCCAACCUUGGUGGGAGUUUAUCCAGUGCUCUGCAGCAUUUUGACUGGUGAACAACCUGUGGCUUGGGAAAUACAGAUUUCCUGUAAUGUUAAGUUAUGUGAAAAAUGCACCAUCUAAUACUUUGUUUGCACAACAUUCAGAGAAAUCAGUGAACUGACAGAUCAUGAGAUAGAUUUCUUACUUCAGAGAGUCAGAGCCUGGAGCAAAUGCCCCUCUCCCCAUCCACCCUUCCACAGGCAGGCAGGAGUGACUGCUCAGGAGGACCAGAAGCAAUAUCUGCAGUCCGUUCUGGUAAUUCCAGCUCUCUGUUUGUUUAUUUGUUAAUAAGUAAGCCCCACUGAGGUUGGGUAGGUCCUGGUCAAUCCUUAAGAGACUUUCUGUACGCCCAGAUGUGUAAUCAUUAAUUCCCAGUGCCGUGGCCAGACGUAUAGACUGUUGUGCCUGAGCAGAGUCUUGGGGGCAUGAAGGGUCUGUGCACACUGACACCUCCACACGAGCAGGGCCUUAGGAGGUAUCGCCUUCCUGCCCAUUUGCAUUAGCAAGCACUUCCUACUGUAGUAUGAGGCACUGCCAUCAUUCCUUGCGUAUCGUACUAGGCAACAAGCACUUAGACACUUAAUGCAA